GUGCUCGCUUCAGCAGCACAUAUACUAAAACUGGAACGAUACAGAGAAGAUUAGCAUGGCCCCUGCACAAGGAUGACACACAAAAGCAUUAAGAGGUCCUCAUGAUU